GUAGGACAUAAUCUGCUUAAUGCUGUGAAUUAACCAAAGCAGUGAAGUAUCUGUCCCUUAUGCAGUAGAGCACUCCAAUAACAUUUGGCUAGUCUGAGACUUACACCUUCAUCCUCAGUGUUGGUUUAUGGGGGUGAAGAUGCCCAGAGCCAUAUUCAGACCACGUGAAGAAAUGGUGAACUUUUCUUUGUCUCCUGGCUUCCUCUAGCCAGGAUUCAGUAACUGUGUAAUAAGUGCUCUCACUUGUUUCUCGUGCUCAUGAAGUUAAAAGUCAGCAUUUAUCUUAGGUGCUAUUGUAAGGAGCCUGCUUAUGGCUCAUGUGUAUGAGCUGGUCUUAAAAUAUUGCAUUGACAAGGUAAUGGCUGAUGAUUUAUAGUGAUUGCACCUCAGACAGUGAAAACAAAACAAAGCAAAAAAAAAACCCAACAAGCUAGAAACGAACUGGGGAAUAGUGAGCAACUGAUAGAACGAACUGGAGAAACGGGAGGAAGAAUUUUAGUAAUAUCUGAAAAUCUGAUGGAGAAUGUCAUAUCUUUGCCUUCAUUUGGAGAUUGCAUAAGAGGGAAUUCAGCACUGAGACAGUAAAGAUAGUCACCUGAGAGAAGGAGAGUUCUGGGAGUGUAAAAUCCCAGCAAAUCAGUGCUGCAGUCAAAUAAAUGAGCACAUCUGAAAUAGCUCCUGAGACCCAGACGUUAUCCAAAGUAACCAGUUUGUAUUCCGUGAAGACAAUGAAGAGACAAAGAUUUACAUUUGGAGAAGGCUGUGGUGUUCUGCAAACUGGUGAAAGAGAAAGCUCUUCUCACCAUCUGUCUUUGAGGACUGUACACCAGAAGAGAGCUCCUCUGAUCUUCUGAUGUUUUCCAUGCUGAUUUGCACUACUCUGAUGCCUUGCAUAAACAUGAAGGUACCAGGAGAAGAAAUGAGCAUCCUCCUCUGACACCAGUUUUCACCAUGACAGUAAUUUGAGCAGAAACAGCUUUGCCUGCAAAUAAAUAAAUAAAUAAAUAUUAUAUGAAAAGCUUCAGAUGGAACUGCCAUGUUCAUUCUUGUUUCUAGAGCCCCCACAGGCCAUGUCACAUAUGUGGGUCAUGAGGUCUAUCGAUUAUGUGUCAGACCCUUAGGUGUCAGUAAUCAAUAG
ensembl:lncRNA